rnacentral:rRNA from 1 species
UACGUAGGGGGCAAGCGUUGUCCGGAAUCAUUGGGCGUAAAGAGCGUGUAGGCGGCCAGAUAAGUCCGCUGUGAAAUCUUGAGGCUCAACUUCGAGCUGUCGGUGGAAACUGUCUGGCUAGAGUCCGGAAGAGGAGAAUGGAAUUCCUGGUGUAGCGGUGAAAUGCGCAGAUAUCAGGAAGAACACCCGUGGCGAAGGCGGUUCUCUGGGACGGUACUGACGCUGAGACGCGAAAGCGUGGGGAGCGAACAGG